GACUUGUGGCCACAUCUGUAACCCAAGGAAUGAAAGGGUUGUUUAUGAGGCAAGAAACAGGCCGCCCUUGCUCUGCAUUUUUCUUGAUCAUUUGAGGAAUUACUUGUUUACCAACAAGCUCAAGUUGAAGUAAGUAUUGAUCAAGGUCUUGGUGCCUAUCCUCGUCCUCUUCCCAUCCAUCUGCAAAGAAUUCAAACCGGAUAAAGCCAUCACCAAACGGGGUCAGCUUAUCUAUGAUGUCACUGGCUUGUCUCAUCUGUUCGCCAGUGGUUUCUGUAGUGGAGAAGGUGACAAGGAAGCCUUUGGAGGCAAGAAUUUUUCCAAGUCUAAGUAAAGGAUUUACAUGGCCUUGGCCUGGGAAAGAAACAAGGAAGAGAUGGCCAAGAGACUCGGAAACCAUUUUUCUCUUCCGGGUUUUUGGACAGGCAGAGAGACGGAAGAGAUUGAUGAACAGGAGAGGACUUGAUGAGUUUGGGAAUGAGUGGUGAGCAUGGAAUGAAAGGAUGCUGAUAUAUAUACCAUUUAUAAGGAGUUACAUUCAAAGUUUUUAGUGAUAGAUAGAUCUACAGAGACUGUUAGUUGGCUGACGGUCAAAUGCAUACAAUGUUUCAAUUAUAACUCUUUCCUUGGCUUCUUCCAACAGAAGAUGAAAUAAAAUUUGAUUACGCUAGUUAAUUAACUGUAGCUUUCAAUGAUUUUGCAGUCAUAUUAGAGCAAAAUGUAUAUUGUGAUUAUAGAAGCGAGAAACACAUCUAUUUGCAAUUUUGCAUGUCGAUUAUUAUUCUCUUUUUCCGAUCAUGGAAAUCAGUAGUCAAGACAUGUUUGAAAAUCUUUGGAAAACACUCAGAAACCCAAUACAUCGGGUAAACCAACAACUUAUACCGACUGAAUGAUGAACAUUAUGGCCAAGGUUAGCUAGUCAUUCCGCCCAACAAUUGGCUUCGCAGAAGGUUUGUCGGAUCGGCACCUCCCAUUGCCUGGAAAACAACUGUUGAGUUUCUGUCAGGAUGGGAUCCUGGAUGAGUCUCCUCUAAAAACUGUCGCAAGAACUGCAGAAUCAACCUCUAGUUCAGUCCUGGUACAUCCUAAAUUCCAAGCUAAAUCUGGUCCGUAGAAAGCAGCCCACGAUUCAGCUUUCGUAGAGAACAAAUACCCAAUUUAGCUGCGAAGCCAUGAAUUUAAUUUAAGGAUUUAUGGCAGUAAUUUUGCAAUUUUAUUUUAUUUUAUUUUCUUUUUUAUAAUAUUAUGGCUUUGAGACUUUAAUUAGUAAAGCUUUAUUUUUUUACAUGUGAUACACUGCUGGUUGGAUAAUUUUUUUAGCCUUUAAAAAAAUAUAAAAAUAUUAAAAAGUUAAAAAUUUAAUGUGUCAAAUAAAAAAAAACUUUUAAAAUAUUAAAAUAUUGAUAUAUUAGAUGAUAUAUUAUUUUUUUUAAAAAAUAUUAAUAUAAUGAUAUAUUAAAUUGACCUCGAUCAACUAUAAUGAAACUCAUUAUCCAAGAUAGGAAAAUGUAAUAAUCUCAUGAAAGCUAUACAAAAACAAAUUGAAAAGGAAAUCGUGACAAAAAAAAAACCAAAUUUAAAAAAGAAAGCACUCAAAAAAAUAAACCAGUGCAUACAAGCCAUCUAAAACGAUGUUUGGGUCCAAUAGAUAAAAUUGAUCAGACACCCAAGACAGAAAUAUGAUCGUCAUUUUAAACGCCCCCAUAAAAGUUUCACCAUGUGAUAAAGGUCUUGAAGAAAUUCGAGUUAAAUUCCUUCCUUCUCGACCAAUUCAAAAAGAAAUCUCCAUUGCCAUUAAUCAUAAAUAAAGAUUGUUAUUGAGAUGGCCUGCGCUAGCUGAAUAGCUAGCCUCCCUUUCUUUUGGGGGCAAACCAAAUGAAUUCAUUGAAACAAGGAGCGAAAAGGCACUCAAGCGGAAAGAAAAGCAUCCUGAUGAGAGAAGCCGAAGCUCCCACAAAAUUACAGACCUACAAAAGCAGACAAAAGAAUCCAUUUCAGAGCCAAAAAAUAUGUGCUUCCAGUUUCAAAUCCUUUGAAGCAGAGCUCGAGACCAGUUAAAUGGUGUUACUUCAACAGCAACCAGUUAUGCCAGCUGUUUUGACCAUUAGUUCUAGGACCUCCACGAAAUUUUUUUGGGUUUGAUGGGUGGUUAAGAUAACAUACCCAUCAACACUCUUUCUUUCUUUCUUUCUUUCUUUUUAUCAAGAACGACGGGGAUAAAGCCUAAAACAUAAAAUUACAAUUUACAAGCAAGGUAACAUAUAUCCCAUGAUUAUCUUCAACGAUUGAAUUUGAAAACAUCCCAUGAUAGUCUUGUAAUUAUGGUAAUGAAUCUGUGGGCAUGCAAAUGAACAGAUAGAAUAAUGGUAGAGCAAUUCAAUUUAAUUGGUGAACAUUGUAUAAAGUCCCGAAUUUGAAGGACUGGGAGUACGAAGAAAAACACUAGUAUCUCUUUACAAUCAACGUAUUUUGUUGAAGAUGAUAUAUUUGCUAGUAUUGAGUUUGUGAUUGUAGGAGAGUGCCAAUCAAAUCAAUGGAGGGUGAUGGAGGAUGAAUAUCAACAAUGGUUGAUCACUUAAAAAAAAUUAAAAUAGUGUUUUUUUGAUAAAAAAAAAUUAUCAAGAGGUUAAAAGUUGAGUUUUUAUUUGAUUUACUCAAAAUCAAUCCAGAUUUUUUAUCAGUUUGAAUCAAGUUAUUUAUGAAAAUUUUGUGGUAUUCAAUAAGUAACUGAUGAUAUCCUAUUAAUUAUUUUUCAGAUCUAUAUUGAAAAAAAAUACAAAUAAAAAAAGAAAGACAAAAUGAAACUCAUAACUUGCUAAAAAUAAUAAAAAUAUAUCUAUCUAAAAUUUCUCUCUCGUAAUUGUAUUUAUUUAAAAAAAAACUCAAGGAAUGAGUUUGGGAAUGAGUGGUAAGCAUGGAAUGAAAGGAUGCAGAUAAAUAUAGCAUUUAAAGUUUUUAGUGAUAGAUAGAUCAACAGAGACUGUUAGUUGGCUGACGGUCAAAUGCAUACAAUGUUUCAAUUAUAACUCUUUCCCUGGCUUCUUCGAACAGAAGAUGAAAUCAAAUUUGAUUACGCUAAUUAAUUAACUGUAGCUUUCAAUGAUUUUGCAGUCAUAUUAGAGCAAAAUGUAUAUUGUGAUUAUAGAAGCGAGAAACGCAUCUAUUUGCAAUUUUGCAUGUCGAUUAUUAUUCUCUGUUUCCGAUCAUGGAAAUCAGUAGUCAAGAAAAACACUCAGAAACCCAGUACAUCGGGUAACCAACAACUUAUACCGAUUGAAUGUUGAAGAUUAGUUACAAGUGCAAGUGCACUUCAUUCCUUGACUUCUGGUUGUCUAUGAAAGAUUCUGCACUAGUAUAUGCUUUCCAGCACGUCAUGCUAAGAAGGGAUAUUCAGUUCCUGCUGACGUUCAAAUUUGUUUUUUGAUCAAUGCUAUCGUACAUAGUGUCGAAUUUCUUUACGGAAACCAACGUAUCUUAUCCUCACAAUUUGUGAUGCUGUUGAAAGUUUCUCUCAGUCACCACUCAGCAAUACGAUAUUUGUAUUGUUCGGAGUUCUUGGCCCAGCAACUUCCAAUUGAAUCCUGAUGAGAGAAGCCGAAGCUCCUACAAAAUUACAGACCUAUAAAAGCAGACAAAAGAAUCCAUUUUGGAGCCAAAAAAAUAUAUGCUUCCAGUUUCAAAUCUAUAAGUUAGCCAAUCCUUUGAAGCAGAACUAGAGACCAGUUAAAAAUUCAACUGUUUUGACCAUUAGUUCUAGAAGAUGUGAACAGUUUACAUCUAAAAGUGUUUUGUGCUGGUGGGGUCGGGAGAAUGGUUCUGAUCAACUUGUGUGUGUGAUUUAUGCUUUGCGCUUUGCAGGGCAAUGCAGAGUACUUUUUUUUAAUAGAAAAAAAAUAAUACUUUUUAUAUAUAAAUAAAUUAUAUUAAAGUUAAUAAAUGAUAGCUGUGAAUUAUGUAUUCCAAAAACAUUAAGGAUUGGUUGAGAUUGGAAUUUUUUUUUCAUGCUACUCAAUAUGAAAACUUUGUAUCAUAUAUUUGUGUUUAGAUUAAUAUUGUUUUGUUUUUCUAUUGAAAGAUAGUUUUAUAAUUUUGAAAAUACCUAAAAUAAUUUCUUGGAGACUCACAUUGAUAUAGAAAUUCUUGCCAUUGGCCUAGAUUAGAGGGAGAAUCAAUAUAUUUCCUUAAGAAAAAACAGAGAGAGAUGAUGAUCAAAAUCUCUUUCUAUUUUGGAGUUGAUUAAUUUGGUUGCACGAUGAGUCUACCUAGCAAGCCACAACAUAAUAAUUCUUAAAUACCAAAAAAUAAAAUUUAAAAUAUUUAUGAACUAAAUUAUUUUUUUAUUGUUUCAUGCUUCAAGAAAAAAAAAAGAAAAAAAAAGCAAGAGAAUCUAGCCCUUACCAAAACCCAGACCAGCAAGCUCAGAGGUGUCGUUUAGCCGGGUUAUUACCCAUCAAAUAUAAAAUGACAACAACCCAAGAGGUGUCGUUUAGCUCUUAGGCUGCGUUUGUUUCCCGAAAAGUGGUUUUCAGAAAACUACUUUUCAAAUUUUUCUGUAUUUAUUUGCCAUUAGGAAAGUUGAUUAACGAAUAACACUUUGCGGUCAACGGAAAACACUUUUCAAUCAAAUAAAAAUUUGGCUUGGUUUCCAGGAAAGUGUUUUCCUUUUAUUUUGGGUGGAAAACACUUUCCGGAAUUUGUGAAAAAUUUAGAAAUGUCAUAUUAUUUGUUGAUUAUAUCAAAUUUGGUCCUCAAAUUUUUGAUUUCUAUAUAUAUUUUGUUUUGAAUAUUUGUUUUUCAAUUUCAUCCUUUAGAAUUUAAUUUUUAUAUUAACUUUGAUCCUCAUUUUUAUAAUUGUUAUUUGAUUUUCCCUUAACAUUUUUUAAUUGAAAAUUUUUAUCUAUCAAAUUUGAUCCUCAUUAUUUUGAUUGUUACUUAUUUUAUUUGAAAUAAUUUAUGAAAUUUUAAUUAUUAUUAUUUUAAUUUCUUCAUCUUUCAUUUUUUUUUUUUUAGAUUUGAUUUCUAUUAUUUUGAUUAUUAUUUAUUUUAUUUGAGAUAAUUUGAAAUCAUUUUUUUUCAAUUACAUUCUCAUUCAACUUUUUAAUUUGUAAGAUUUGUUCCUCAUUAUUUUAAUAAACUUGAGAAAAAUAAAACAUUAAUAAGUUAUUUUCCAGCUCAUUUUCCAUGACAUAACCAAACACUAGAAAGUAUUUUUCAAUUUAUUUUUCAUUACACUACCAAACAUCGGAAAAUAAUUUAUUUUUCCGGAAUUCAUUUUCCAAAAAAAACUACUUUCCAGCAAACAAACGGGGCCUUAAAUACACAUUUUUUUACCGCAUUUGUUACCACAAACGGGGCCUUAAAUACACAUUUUUUUACCGCAUUUGUUACCAUGCAUGUGAUUGGUUAUCUACUUUAGCUGCAUGCCUUAUAUGGUUUUUUAAUAAUGUGAGUAUAAUUUUAUUUAUACAUAUUUACUUAUAUAUUCUAUGUGAGUAUAAUUUUAUUUAUACAUAUUUACUUAUAUAUUCUAAUAAAAAAAUUAUCUUAACAAUUCGUUUAUAUUGAUACUUUUAGUCAGAAAACCUAUUGAAGAAUAAAUCUUUGAAUAAUAUUUUUUAAUGUUUUUCAUAGAUAUGUGAGGCUUACCUUUCUUUAACAUAAAAGUAACUUUUUAUUUAGCUCUUUCAAGCUAUAAAAUUACUUUUGACUCUCUCGUUGAAAACACCACCUUCCUUUUCUCCGCUUAUUUCACCUACCAUAGUUAUUCACGGUGGUGAAAGUUAAAUAUGAGUUAUUGAGUUUUAAAUAAUAAUAUGUAUGUUUCACACACAUUAAAUUUUUUUUAUGUAUAUUUUUGUGUUGAUAUUAAAAAUAAUUUUUUUAAAAAAAAAUAUUAUUUUAAUAUAUUUUCAAACAAAAAACAUUUUAAAAAGCAACUAUUAUCACAAUAACAAAUAUGUUCGACAUCUUUGAAAAUUUGUAAAACAAAUAUGUAUUUAAUUCUCAAAAAAAAUAAUCUCAUUGCUAUCUCAGCUAGAACACAAGAUAAGACAUUUUAUUUUCAAUCAAUAUUAAUAACUUGCAUAUUAUUUUAAAAAAAUCCACCUUUUAAACUAACAUAUAAUUAUUCAUAAAAAAAUUAAAAAUAUUUAUAAAAAACUUCAAUUGUUUUUUAAAAACAAAGAUAUAAUUGAACAACCAUUUAAAUAUAAUUGAACAACCAUUUAAAUAUUAUUUUAAUAAAUUGAUUCCAAUAUAUAUUUUUUUAUAAAAAAGGAAACAUCCAAAAACCUGGUACCAAGGUCUUUAGUGGCAGAAAGCGGGCUUGGAUAUGCAGGACUCCUAACUAUCCUUGUACACUAUUGAGCACAUAAACAAUGGAAACCUGGUCCGAAACCAUUAACGCUGGUGCUGAAAAGUGAAAUACAUAUAAAAGAUCGAGGUUACAUUUCUGCUGGUAGUGAAAAGUGAAAACUUCUUCAAUUUAUUUUCAGUGAAAAGCUUUUGAUUUUUUGAAUGUUUAAAAAAUAUAUUUAUUUGAAAAAAAUAUUAAAUUAAAAUUCUUUAUAUGUUUUUCAAUAAUUUUGAUAAUAUAAUGAUAAAAAUUAAAAAAUAUAUUUUCAAAAAGCAUAUUAAUGCAAUGAACUACUGUUGCAGGCAUGAAUAUUCCAUCAAUAUCAAUAUAUCGAGCAUUAUUUUAUUUUAUUUUAAUAUCAUCUCUGCUUUCUCACAUCCAGACCACGUAUAUUUCUUCAGUCCGGUUAAAAAAAGGACCAUUAUUAGUGCUAAAAGUAGAGUAACAUAGUCUUAAAUAUGAUAUGAUCUACAUUUCAGGAUUUGGAAUUCUUUCCUUGGAAUAAAUAAAAGGUAAACAAAACUUAAUAAAAAAACGCAGUAAUCCUAGCAUUAUCCAAUCACAAUUAUUGGCCUUCGUUGCCUUAUGUAUAUUGAUGAGGAAACAACGAGCGUACAACCAUCGCUUGGCAGGAUUAUCACUAACGUCCUUGCCUUAAUUAAUCUUCAUGUCACGAUUUAUCAUUGCACAAUCCCUUCACGGAACCGUGCAUACUUCAAUUGAACCACAACUCUCAAUAAUUUCAUCUACAAACAACUGAAUAUUCUUGUCCGAUGAACCACCACCGGCAACUGCCUCUCUUGCCGCGAUCCUCAAUUCCCUUGCAUUGGAUUUAAGCUCCACAGACUUUGGUCCGUCCAUGAUCUCUCUAAUACAUCUUUCAACUUCCUCAUUGCUAACAAUCCCAUCUUGAUUUGCUCUAAGCCUUAGACCAAUGCGAAAAACAUCAACAAUAAGUUUUGCAUUUGUUGGCUGGUCGCUCCACUUGGGGUAUGCAAUCACCGGCACGCCCGCAGCAAUUGUUUCUAACAUAGAAUUCCAUCCACAAUGAGUUAUAAAACACGCAAUAUAUAGCUGGGUGGGCUAAAACUUUGGUUUGUGGAGACCAUGAUACAACCACCCCUUGGUCUUUGGUCUCCUCCAAGAAUCCUAAUUAACGGCAAUUGUCCUGCACCAUCAGGUUCUUGUAAGUCUGGUUUCUUAACCGCCCAAAUAAAUGGAGUGUUACUGUUCUUCAGGGCUUUCGCCAUGCACUCCAUUUGUUUGGCUGAUAAGACAACAAGGCUUCCAAAAGAUAUAUACGUAUAUAACUGAAGAAGGGGCUCCCUUGUUUAACCAUUCAAUGCAAGUAUCUUCUGCUUUCCACAUCUCGACACCCGUAUCGUGAUCUUUAUCUUCACCAAGAAGUGAUGGAAGAACUAGAGGGCCAAUGGGACUAAUAGGGCAGAGAUCAGCCAUGGACUCAAUAGCAUCUUUCUCAAGCCCAAAGCAUGAGUUCCCAAGAACCCAUUUAUACAUCUUCAUGUUCUGGAACAUCUCUGAGAACAAUUUAGGAAAGAUACCAUAUGGAUUUGAAGGAAGAACAAAAGAAGGUAAAUCUUCCGUAUUCAACAGUGGCAAGCCUGGCAACUCAACACUCAUUUCAGGAUCUGUUAAAGUAGGAAAUGAGUUUAGCUUAUUGUAAAAGCGAUAAUAAAUGGCAUAAAGUGAACAUGGCUGUAUCCAAAACAUGGCACAGGGAAUUCCAUGAUUGAUGGCAACAUCAGCUACCCAGGUAACAAAUGGGUUGGUGAUGAUGCAAGAGAGCUUUUUGUGACCAUUACUGGGGAAAUGCUCCUUUAUAAGGUUUGAGAGAUUGAUGGUUCCAAAUUUGGCUAAACUCUUCUUGUACGAUUCGUAAUUAACCAUGCGGUCGUAGUUUAGGCUUUGACCAUCAGAGAAGAAGCGAACCUGGACUCCAGAGAUUGAGAUGGUGGAGGAGGUGGGGUUGAUGGUGGAAGAUUUGAGCAUGCGGUGACGGGUGAAUUCAGUGGUGGCCAGUGUGACAUGGAGACCUUUAUUGACCAAGCAUUUACCUAGUCUAACCAUGGGGUUUAAGUAACCCUGAGAUGAGAGUGCCACCAUUAGCACAUGAAUUUCUUCUUCUUUGUUUUCCUUCAAGAUUUCCAUGACUUCACAGCUCACACAACGAGCGAGAGAAAGAGAGAUUAGGUUAAGGAGGGCAGGCGAUUGACAAAUCACUGUAUAUGGAAAAAUCACGAAGGACAACUCAGCAAAGUAUAGACGCAGGCAAUGACGCAUGGCAUUAUAGGGAUCCAGAUUAAUAGUGUGUUUGAUAUUAUGAUAGCUGUUGUGGUUGUGAUUUAAAAAAAAUUAUUUUAUAAAAAGUAUUUUUAGUUGAGGUUGGUUUGAAAAAAUAGGUGUUUGGUUAAAACUGUAGUUAAAAUUGAGGUUGAAGAAAAAGUAGUUUUAACGUGUUUGGUUAAAAAAAUGUUUUUCAAAUUGAGGUUAUAAAAUAAUUAUAUAUAUAUUAAUGAUUUUUAACUUAAAUAUUGUAGAUUUAACUACUGUUAUUACAUCAUGAAAUAAAUAAUAUUGAUAUCAAAUAUUUUUUAUUAUUCCAUUAAACUAUAUACAAUGUCAUUACAUACGAAAUCUAUCCAACAAGGACUAUAUUUUUUAUAGUUUCUUAAGCGCGCAACAACAAAAACUGAUUUUUUAAAUUUAUGUAGUGUUAUUAAAUAAUAAAGAUUGUGAUAUCUUUAUUAUUGGAAUUGCGAUCAAAUUCCACAAAUGUUACGUCAUCAUGCGAUAUCUUUCUAAUUUAUGUAGUGUUAUUAAAUAAUAUUAAAUACUAGUUUUUUAAGUACAACACAAUUUUUUUUAAAAAAAAUUACAAUUUCAUUAUAGUAUAAUUAAAUUUAAUUCACCUUAAACUAAUUUUAAAAAAAAAACAAAAAAAAAUAUUGUUCACGAUUAACUGCACUGGUGUUGUUCGGGAAAAAAAAACUAAACUUUUCUUAUUGGUUUUUUUUUUAAAAAAAAAGAACAUCUUCACUGAACAGUGGAGCCAUGAGAAGCAGCAUUUUGCUGCUUCUCCAAUCCAGCGGCUGGGCAGCAAAAAUCAGUAGUCCCUACCAAGCAAAAUCAGGUUUGUUUACUUUACUAAAUAUAAAAAUAUAUGGUUGCGAGUGAACCUUACCCGCAACCACAAUACCAAACACCUAAGAAGGUGAGAAUGACAAAACUCAAAUCAAAGUGUUAAUCGUGUAUCCAAUCUCGAAAAGAAAUUAGAAAUAAAUAAAUAAAAGUGUUAAAUCAUCAUCAUGAAGAAAGAGAAUAAGAAAAAAUUAAAAGUAGUAAUCCAUUAUCGUUGAUAAGUGAUUUUGAUUGUUCUAUCUUAUUUUAAAAAUCUUCGUCCACUUUAAGAUUCUCGGUGCACUUUAUUAGUGUUAAACGUUGUAAUAAAAAUUAUUUUUUAAAAAAAAUAAAUUAAAAUAAUAUAUAUAUUAUUUUUUAAAUUUUAUUUUUAAUAUUAACACAUUAAAAUAAUUCAUAAAAUAAUAUACAUGGUCGGAUAAACAAAUAACCUUUUUAAAUUAAAAAGCGAUGAGUUCAUGAUACAUAAUUUUAUUAAAAAAAAUUAUAAAACUUAAUUUUUAAUAAAAAUAAUAUUAAAUAAUAAAAUUUAAAUUUAAAAAAAAUAAAGAAAAUGAAAAAAAUACUCUAGUAAAUAAUAAUCAAGUAGGAGGGGUACAGUUUAUUUGCUAAAAUGACAGGCACGUCCCUCCCUGGAUGGGCUCAAGUAUUGCCCCUUUUAUUCCACACCAAAAAAAAAAAAAAAAAGCAGCCCAUCAAGGGAAAACCACCCAGAAAGCUGGUCCCAAACUCUCGGCGGACAGAAAGCGAUCUCAGCAGUCUGAUAUCAACAUUAUAAAAAUGGAGUUAACUAACCGCUUGUCAAAGUGAUUUCAACAUUCAACCCAAGUAAACAGAGCAAAGCCAACUUUCUUUGAUGAAUGUUAGUUCUAACCGCUCUAAUUUCUUAUAAUUAUAUAGUGAAAAAAGACUUGCUGGACGUUUUCCUAUUAAAAAAAAACUCAAAGUUUGAGCAUUCUGUUGCUAAACCUUGCUAUUAAUUAUUAUAUAUUUAUUAUAGUUAUUUAAUUUAGGCUUCCACGCCACUAGAAUGACCACAACUCGCACAGUAAUAGUCGUGCUUGUAGAAUUAAAAAAUUUCCAAUUGAUUUGACAAAUAUUUUGGUGGUCUUAUUUGUUAAAUGUCAUCUUAUUUUUUGUUAUGGUAAUUAAAUUAAAUUAAAUAUUUGAAAAAUCAAGGUUUUAUUUCCAAAUAUCAUUUUUGGAUCACUUAAGCCUUUUUUUUUAAUGAUUACCAAGUUUGUGAGGUGUUAUUUAAAAAAAUAUUUUACAAGUAAUUUUAUCAGUUGUCAUUUAUUUUUACAUAUCUUUCACUCAAAAUCUUCAAAUUUAACUCUUUAAACCUCUAUAAAUAAAUAAAGGGAUUCACUAUCACAAGAAAGGAAAGGGAAAAAAAAAAGUUAUACUCAAGUAUUGAAACUCUGCAAAAAAAAAAAGCUGCCAAGCCUUGCACCUCAGUAGAGUUCACCUUCAAUACUUUGAGGAUAAAUCAAAGAAGUUAUCAAAUUUUGCUCAAAACUUCAUAUCACACUUUGCAAAAAGCAUGCCAAGUCUUCACAUUUUUCAGGAUAAAUUUGUAGGUGCAAUGCCAUAUAUAACGACCACGACUUGCAUAGUAGUGGUGGUGCUACAAUAUCAUAGUUUUUUAGGGUGGGCUACUGGGCUUGAAAUGUUUUCACAGGCACCUAAUACUCUUUUAUGUCAGAGUGAUGUUGUGUUUUCUUUUCAUGAAUCAAACACAAAUUACACACAUAAAAUAAAUUUAAUAAAAUUUUAUAUAAUUACCGUAUUUUAUUCGUAGAACAUGAAUCGUGAUACUUGUACAAAAAUCUUAUAAUAUUUAAUUUAAUUUUCUUUAUAAAAGUUUGUCGUUAUAGUCCCCACACAAAAAAGAAAAAAGUGCAAAAAAACACAUUCCCAACCAAACCAAAAACAAAUAAUAGUAGUGAGAAGAGGAAGUCAGAGUUCCUAGAAAAUAAUAAAAAAUUAGUUGAGGAUGUUAAAAAAAAAUUAAAAUUUGACAGUAUAUUUUUUACUAAUGAGAGCCAUGUUGACAAGAAAAAUUGAAUUUAAGAAAGAAAAGUUCAAAAUCAGAUAUUUAUAGACUCAAUUGAAGGUUUAAUUGAAUUUGUAGAGGGUUUGAUUGAAAGAAAAAUUGAUUUUAAGUCAAUUUAAGCUUUAAUUGAAAGAAAUUAAAGUACAGGGCUCAAAUUAUAAUUUUUAAGAGUUGAUUUGGUCAAAUCAGGAGCUUCAUUGCAUAAAUAUCAAAGUUUGAUGCCCAAUUAGGGACUUGAUUGAAGAAAUCCAAAACCAAUAACCAAACUAGAAAAUACAAAUAAAUAAAGGAACUGAAAUUAUCCGAAUCAAGAGCCAAAUUAAAAGUUUAUUGAUCAAUUGAGAUUCAAAUUGGAUAAAUUCGAGACCAAGUAUCAAAAUGAAAAGGACGACCAACUUUAGAGUUGACAUUUAAUUUUGACAAAGACACAAUUAAAUCGAUUCUUAAAAUUAAAAUCGCAACUGAAAACUUGAUUGAACAAAUAAAAAAUUUAAAACUUAUUUGGAAAUUAAUACAUUUUAACGUCAUUUUCUUUCAAAUGAAACAACAUCGUUUUGUUAAAACGGCAUUGUCUCAUGCAUUGUUCAUAAAAAAAGCCCAAAAUAGUGCCGUCUUGAACUGCAUUGUGUGUCUUCUUCUUCCCUGACUCACAUAGGCAGGGGAAGAAGGUUUUCGUCCCCUCUUUUGCAGCGUCCGUUUGGCUCUCUCCUAAGAACUCAAAACCCCGACACAAUCCACACCCUCUCAUGACAUACUACCAUGAUGAAAAAGCUAGGAGAACCAUGCCUAAUUGCGACUUUGGGGCGGCUGCAUAGAGGUCGCCUCAGCCACCCUACCUUUACACCAUGACUGGACAAAAAUAGUAGCUCUUUCUUCCCCUUUCCGCCCUUAUAAAUACUAGGGGACAGAGAGGAGCAGGGGACGAAAAAACGAGUGAAAUUAUAGAGAGAAAGAAAGAAAAAGAAGAACAAAAGAGAAAAAGAAACAAGGAACUUGAGAACUAAACAAGAAGAGACAGAGAGGAAAGAACUUAUAAAAAAGGGACAGAAACAAGAGAAGAGGAUGAAAACAAAAAUAGAGAGGAGUUACAUAAGAAGUGAAACAAAGGAAAAACACACUGGAAAAAAAAAAACUGUCGACCGGCACAACAGCUCCCUAUUGCACAGCCACCUUGUUAGGAAGAAGAACAGUUCCUCGCCGCGAACCAUCGCCAGCCGCCACCAGUAGCACUGCCACCGCUAGAGAACAAAAGGAGAAGAACAGAUAAAUAUAGGGAAGGAAAAGAGAUAACAGAAGACAAGCAGAAGGAAAAUACAGAGAAAGAGGAAGAACAACCAGCAGCGUCCUCCGCAAACCACCGCCAGUCCUCUUCGCCCAACGUCAACAACAGCACCGCCACUGCAGGUCAGCUUCCACCUCCUUUAUUUUCCUCUUCUCCUUCUCUGCGUGCAACCUCUACUGUUCACGUUUCUGAGCAGAAACUGCCCUUACCUUGCAUUAUUUGUUGUAUAACGAACCAAAUAUCGACCUCAUUCACUUCACUUGCCUCCUACAAUUACUGUCGUUUGCUCAAAGCUAUAUGUUCUACUUUCUAGCUGCUGGCUGAUCAUUAUACUGGGAGCAAGUAUCGAGGAGCCUGACACCCUCGAUUCCCCAUGCACCUUCUUUCAUUUCUCGUUUAUUUGUAGACGUGCUAGUAUAUGUUUUGGAAUGAUGAGUCUCUCUCUUAUGUUAUUUAUUAUUAAAAUGAAAAUAAAGUGUGCGUAGGGACAUCAUGUUAAACUAAAAAAACUAAAAAAAAGAAAAUGAAAGCAAGGAAAACAAAAUGUCAUAUUUUGGCAAUAGAAUACUCAAGCCAAAAAUAUGCUUAAAUGACUUAUAUUGAAACCUUUGAGAUUGUGCUCCAUCUGCAUGACUAGGAUUUACAUAUGGGUCAAGAUUAAUGUAUACUUUUUGAAUAUUAUCGGCAUUAUUAACUAAAAAUUCAACUAUUUGCCAAUAUAAUUCUAGAUUACGUUUAAGAGUUGUAAUGUUAAAUUUUAAACCAUGCAUAAUUCUUUUUUAAAGACUGAAAAAAUUCUUAAGACCCUAUAUUUUCAAAACUAAAAGGUUUAGAAUUUGUUGUCCUCCACCCACUUGAUGAUCUAUCACUUACUUUCUUAAAACUUAAAUCUAUAUCUUUGUAUUUCUUUGGAUUUUUGUUACUCCUCGACAUUAUAAAGAUACUAUAUAUAAUAAAAUUUAUACCCAAAUCAUAAGACAAUCAUGAAUACAAUAAAAACUAAAAAUAUUACAACAACUUUAAUUUUCAACAACCAUUACAAGCAAUUCAAACCAAUAAGAUUUUAGCAAAUUAUAAAUAGGAGAGUACAAAAAAUCGACAACAACCAUACAUAUGGCACUUGGCCUUUACUGUAUGUUAUUAAUACCUAAUUAAAAGAAGUAAAGAGUAGACAACUACAUAACAAGAGUAAUUUCAUCAUACUAACACAGGAUCAAACCCGUUCCAUGUUCACUGCAUAUAUAGCAAAUCUCCUCAUGCCGAUCACCCCACCAGUUCAACCACUUUCUCGUUGGACUUCACCACUACCGACACUGGAAACUCAUUAGAACCAAUGCACUUCCCAGCAAUCUCAGACUCAUUCGCUUUUACAAUAUCGUCAGUAAAAUAUCGUAUAUUCCAGUCGGAGGAACCACCCUCAGCCACUGCUGCCUCGGCUGCCUCCUUCCAUUUCAUUGCAUUCUGCUUCAUUUCCACUGCCUUAGGUCCCACUGUGGCCUCCAACAAGCAUUUCUCUAUCUCAUCACGAGUAAUCAGUUUGUUCUCUGCUUCUCCGCGGCACAAUCUCACACCAACCUUAAGGAUGUCGACCAAAUAUUUUGCAUUAGUUACUUGAUCACCCCAUUGAGGGAAAGCCACCACUGGCAUGCCUGAUGUGAGUGCUUCCAUAGUAGAGUUCCACCCACAAUGUGUUACAAAGCACGCAACUGAUGGGUGACCUAAAACCUUCUCUUGAGGACUCCAUUGCACCACAUUGCCCCUGUCUCCUGCUUUCUCCAAGAACCCAUCUGGCAGAACAAGGAGGUCAUUUCCUGAAUCUUUGUGGGGUGGUUUCAUAACUAACAAGAAGGAGACGCCCGAAUUCAGUAACCCACAAGCCAUCUCGUUCCAUUGGUCUUGCUUCAAUUGUACGACACUACCGAAAGACACAUAAAUAACUGAUGAAGGUGGCUUUGUGUCAAGCCAUUCGAUGCAAUCAUCUGCCUUCAGCAAGUCUCCAUGGACCGUUGUCUUUAGUACCUUAGGAUUUCUGAAUAGCGGCCCAACGGUCUUGAUGGGGAAGAUUUCGGACAUGUGCUUGAUAAGCUCUGGUUCAAGCUCUUCGAAUGUUUCCAUCAGGAUGCAAAAUGGCUUGUCAAGAUUUUUGUACUGACAUAAAAUAGCCCUCCUCAAGAAAGGAUAAGGAGUUGUAGGAUAUAAGAAACUAGGCACUUCAUCAUGUUUUAGGAGAGGCAUCCAUGGUAGUUGGACAUCUAUCUCGGGGUGCUCCUCAUCAGGGAAAGGUACAGCACCGUGAUAGUAAUGGUAAUAUGAGGCAAAACAAGCGCAGGAUUGAACCCAAAGCAUUGCAGAAGGGAGACCUAGACCUGUGGCCACAUCUGUAACCCAAGGAAUGAAAGGGUUGUUUAUGAGGCAAGAAACAGGCCGCCCUUGCUCUGCAUUUUUCUUGAUCAUUUGAGGAAUUACUUGUUUACCAACAAGCUCAAGUUGAAGUAAGUACUGGUCAAGGUCUUGGUGCCUAGGCUCGUCCUCUUUCCAUCCAUCUUCAAAGAAUUCAAACCGGAUAAAGCCAUCACCAAACGGGGUUAGCUUAUCAAUGAUGUCACUGGCUUCUCUCAUCUCUUUGCCAGUGGUUUCAGUGGUGGAGAAGGUGA
rnacentral:lncRNA from 1 species